GGGUGUUUAGGAAUAUUUAAUCCCCACCAGAAGAAUCCUUAUUAGUCUGUGAUUUGUAUUGUUUUGCUUAAUUAUUAUUUCUUAUAGAUAUAUCUGUGUAUAUCCAGAGAGAGAGAAAGGACGUAUUUUAAGUUGAUCUUAGUAAUACCUCUUCUGAAUGGAUUAGUGGGAGGAUAGAGGGCAAAAUCGGCAGACUUAACGUAGGAAGAUUAAUAAACCUUAUUACCGAUUGCUGAUGGGCAAUCAGGAUGAAUUCGUCAGGAAAGACGAGCGUGAAAUCCGAGGGCUGUGGACAGCCAUCUACCAGGUGACUAUUAGUUUAAUUUGCCUAGUUACUUCAGGCAGUUACUCCACAGCUACCCAAAGCAGCGAUAGUGACAAGCCCGCUUCCAGCAUCCGUUCCCCAUGCAGGGAUGGCCACAGGGAUGGACAGACGGAGGCCGCUCGAUGCGUUGCCCCCCAGGGGAGGGGGAAUCGCCGUGUGCCCACCAGUGCAGGUUCCGUAGCGGGGUGAGUGCCUGUGUGUGCGUGUGUUUUGGCCUGGAGCUGUCCUGCCUGGCCGUUAGCGAUGGUAGCUAACGUGGCGGUCCGUCGGUGUAGUAAGACGUUGUCCGGACUGUUUUGGCAAA